rnacentral:rRNA from 1 species
UGGACAGAAAGACCCUAUGAAGCUUUACUGUAGCUUGGUAUUGUGUUCGGGCUCUGAAUGCGCAGCCUAGGUGGGAGGCUAUGAAGGUAAACUUUUGGGUUUACUGGAGCCAACAGUGAGAGACCACUCUGGGAGAGCUAGAAUUCUAAUGGCGUUCCGUGAAGCCGGACGCUUGACAGUUUCAGGUGGGCAGUUUGACUGGGGCGGUCACCUCCUAAAAGGUAACGGAGGUGUGCAAGGGUUCCCUCAGGCUGGACGGAAAUCAGCCGUAGAGUGUAAAGGCAGAAGGGAGCUUGACUGCAAGACCUACAAGUCGAGCAGGGGCGAAAGCCGGUCUUAGUGAUCCGACGGUUCCGUGUGGAAGGGCCGUCGCUAAACGGAUAAAAGUUACUCUAGGGAUAACAGGCU